GGGACAGGAGAGGGCUGAUGCGCAGGAGGAUGCAAAACGUUGCGAGGAGGAGACAAUCUGUGGAGGGGUUGUGAGGGGGUCAAGAUUCACAUGUUAGCCAAAGAUGCUUCAGGGCCACCGUUUGAUGAGGGAUGAGUCAUACGGAUGGAGACCCCGAGGAAGACUGGCAGACGUGUCUGCACCUUCAAGGCAGGGGAGUGCAACACACUGCAGUGGAGAGGACUUCAUCACAGAUAUCAGGGGCUGAGAGGAGCAAAUUGAUAUUCUG